CGGGGGGGAGGGGCGGAGGGGCGCCCCGCAGAGGCUGGGGGGUGGCCCUGUCAAGCAGCCGGCCCACCGCCCCCCGCCGGCCGCCAACGCACCCGGGCCGCUGAGGGCUCUCUCGGACCCGCCGCGGCACCAGCCUGCCUGGGUCUCUCGAAUUUUCCACCAGGGGAAGCCGGCCGGGGGCGUCGGGGCUCGCCCCCGCCCCUGAAAGCGGCGAGCGGAGGAGGUGCAUAGGGGAAGCAAAGGCAGGAAGAUGAAGUGUCCAUGAGACAAAGCAAUUCACCCUGGGGAUGUGUGGAAGAAGUUGCCAACCCAAGAAGGGAACCAAGGAGGUUGGAAUUGGAGCCCUUUGUGUUUACAACUUAAGGAGAGACUCAUUCCAGGGCACCUAGCUGGCUCAGUUGGUGGAGCAUGCAACUCUUGAUCUCGGGGGGUUGUCAGUU